rnacentral:rRNA from 1 species
UACGUAGGGGGCAAGCGUUGUCCGGAAUUAUUGGGCGUAAAGAGCGUGUAGGCGGUUUGGUAUGUCCGUUGUGAAAACUCGAGGCUCAACCUCGAGACGCCGAUGGAAACCAUCAGACUAGAGUCCGGAAGAGGAGAGUGGAAUUCCUGGUGUAGCGGUGAAAUGCGCAGAUAUCAGGAAGAACACCCGUGGCUAAGGCGGCUCUCUAGUACGGUACUGACGCUGAGACGCGAAAGCGUGGGGAGCGAACAGG